GACAGCCAGGAUGUUGGCUUAGAAGCAGCCAUCAUUUAAAGAAAGCGUAAUAGCUCACUGGUCGAGUCGGCCUGCGCGGAAGAUGUAACGGGGCUAAACCAUGCACCGAAGCUGCGGCAGCGACGCUGAUGCGUUGUUGGGUAGGGGAGCGUUCUGUAAGCCUGUGAAGGUGUACUGUGAGGUAUGCUGGAGGUAUCAGAAGUGCGAAUGCUGACAUAAGUAACGAUAAAGCGGGUGAAAAGCCCGCUCGCCGGAAGACCAAGGGUUCCUGUCCAACGUUAAUCGGGGCAGGGUGAGUCGACCCCUAAGGCGAGGCCGAAAGGCGUAGUCGAUGGGAAACAGGUUAAUAUUCCUGUACUUGGUGUUACUGCGAAGGGGGGACGGAGAAGGCUAUGUUGGCCGGGCGACGGUUGUCCCGGUUUAAGCGUGUAGGCUGGUUUUCCAGGCAAAUCCGGAAAAUCAAGGCUGAGGCGUGAUGACGAGGCACUACGGUGCUGAAGCAACAAAUGCCCUGCUUCCAGGAAAAGCCUCUAAGCAUCAGGUAACAUCAAAUCGUACCCCAAACCGACACAGGUGGUCAGGUAGAGAAUACCAAGGCGCUUGAGAGAACUCGGGUGAAGGAACUAGGCAAAAUGGUGCCGUAACUUCGGGAGAAGGCACGCUGAUAUGUAGGUGAAGUCCCUCGCGGAUGGAGCUGAAAUCAGUCGAAGAUACCAGCUGGCUGCAACUGUUUAUUAAAAACACAGCACUGUGCAAACACGAAAGUGGACGUAUACGGUGUGACGCCUGCCCGGUGCCGGAAGGUUAAUUGAUGGGGUUAGCGCAAGCGAAGCUCUUGAUCGAAGCCCCGGUAAACGGCGGCCGUAACUAUAACGGUCCUAAGGUAGCGAAAUUCCUUGUCGGGUAAGUUCCGACCUGCACGAAUGGCGUAAUGAUGGCCAGGCUGUCUCCACCCGAGACUCAGUGAAAUUGAACUCGCUGUGAAGAUGCAGUGUACCCGCGGCAAGACGGAAAGACCCCGUGAACCUUUACUAUAGCUUGACACUGAACAUUGAGCCUUGAUGUGUAGGAUAGGUGGGAGGCUUUGAAGUGUGGACGCCAGUCUGCAUGGAGCCGACCUUGAAAUACCACCCUUUAAUGUUUGAUGUUCUAACGUUGACCCGUAAUCCGGGUUGCGGACAGUGUCUGGUGGGUAGUUUGACUGGGGCGGUCUCCUCCUAAAGAGUAACGGAGGAGCACGAAGGUUGGCUAAUCCUGGUCGGACAUCAGGAGGUUAGUGCAAUGGCAUAAGC
rnacentral:rRNA from 1 species